rnacentral:rRNA from 1 species
GACGAACGCUGGCGGCGUGCUUAACACAUGCAAGUCGAACGGUGAACUCCGCUUGCGGGGGGAUCAGUGGCGAACGGGUGCGUAACACGUGGGCAACCUGCCCUCAGCUCUGGGAUAACUCCAAGAAAUUGGGGCUAAUACCGGAUAUGACCGCUGACCGCAUGGUCUGGUGGUGGAAAGAUUUAUCGGCUGGGGAUGGGCCCGCGGCCUAUCAGCUUGUUGGUGGGGUAGUGGCCUACCAAGGCGACGACGGGUAGCCGGCCUGAGAGGGUGACCGGCCACACUGGGACUGAGACACGGCCCAGACUCCUAUGGGAGGCAGCAGUGGGGAAUAUUGCGCAAUGGGCGAAAGCCUGACGCAGCGACGCCGCGUGGGGGAUGACGGCCUUCGGGUUGUAAACCUCUUUCAGCAGGGACGAAGCGAAAGUGACGGUACCUGCAGAAGAAGCACCGGCCAACUACGUG